CCACCACCAAGGCAGUAUCUCUUGGAGAUUGCUUUCUGGUGGAGAUUGUCCCAGCUUUUCCAGGCAAGGCAUCAACAUUGCUGGCUUCUCUCUCCAAGCUGUACUGUGAGGCGUUUGUGUUGGGUGCAUGGAAAUCUAGAGCAGAAACGGACAAAGCCCAUGAGUACCAUCUUCCAGACAUUGAAGAUAGAAGAAAAAAUCCUCAAACAAGAAUGCUACUAUGGCCCCUUGUCCCUCCUGAUGGCACCUUCAGGCAUCCAUACACACAGAACAGAUUCUACAUACAGCUACUUAAUAACAGACAGCUGCAAAUGCUGACCUUUUCUGGAGAUGCGUUUUGUAAAUGCUAAGAACAAUCCUCUAUUACAUGAGAUCUUAUUACAUGAGCCGGGGACACCUUUAUAAGGUGCACAGGAGAAGGCAGUCUCCUUACAAUGUGACCGGAAUCCUGCUGCUCUGAGAAAGAGGCAACAAGUGGCAUCCCGGUCUGAGGAGCUCAUGAAGAAUGGCAGAUGAAGCUAUGUGUGGACCCAGGAGGGAGCAAGAAGAAGCAGCAGGAGACUGCAGCUGUGCUGUGCUAAGUGAGAGGCAGCCUGGGCAAAAGCAUCUUUCUGUCACCAGGGGCAUAGCCAUGUUUCUGUAGAGCAUUGCCAGUGCUUUAGGUGACCAGGCCAGCUUUGUGCUGGGUGAGCUCCCUGUAAGCAGGACUUGGGUCUUUGCUGUAGUUGGCCUUUUGCCCUGUUGCUCCUUUGGCUGCCUGAGGAAGGUGGGCCCCUGUAAGGAGUUUUUUCUCCUCCUUUUUAUGUUUGUGAUCACUUCAUUUUAUUCACACUUCAGAGUGAGCUUGAAGUAGUUCAUCCUUAUGUUUCUAGUCGAGAUCUUCUUGAGCCACUUCAGUCUUAGCAGCUCAAUCUACCUCUUGGAUGUUUUGAAGUGGGUUUUUUUUGUGGCACAAUUCUUGUGCACAUGUGCAUCUACUUGACAUACUUUUACAGCCACGUUCUCUUCCUGUGCAGCAAUAUUUUGAUUUGAGUAGUUUUCUUCCCUUUCUCAAAAACUGCUGUGUUUCCCCAGAUGAUGAUGUCAUCAAAGUAUUGCAGGUGUUCAGGAGCUUCCCCCUGUUCCAGUGCAGUCUGGAUCAGCCCAUGACAAAUGCCCACCUAUACUCUUUUGGGUCCUUGUAAUACCAUCUUCUUAGAUAACGAUACCAAGGAUGGACAGAGUCUCUGGGCCAGUUGCAAUUGCUUGCUUUUGCCAAUCAUUUCUAGUUAGGCUCUCUUUGGCCUCCAAUACAGUUUGCUAUUGGGAUCACUCCAGAAAAACAAAUAGGGUUUGGUCCCUUUGUAAUGUGAUGGCAUUAGGGUACCUUGUGUACUGGUGUCCACUAGAGCCUUACAUUUCUGUGGAUCUGAUGUGCCAGGCCAUUCUGUCUAAUAAGCCUGGAUGGAAGCAGGGCCUCUCUAGUUUAGUUAUUGUAUUCAUUGCUCAUCUCUCAUGUAUAAGCACCAGAAGGCUCAUUGUCAACCUCAGAGGCUAAGUCAGACCAUCUUCUUGAUCUGAAGAAUUGCCUGCUGGAAAAAGGAACUGCAGCCUUCCUGGAAGCACCCUUUCUCGUGAUUGCUUUCCAUUGCUCCUGUACCUAUGCCCAUAACACUGAGGUGUGUUUUUCAUCGCACCUCAUAUCCUCUCCACGGUCACAUACAUAAAACCACAGGAUGGUACAUGUUGUGUAACCAGUAUAUCCUCUCUCUGGAGCAGAGGAAUUCUUGCUUCUAGUAGGUGAGAUAUUGGUUUGUACUGGUGGGGAACAGAGUGAAGAGUGAAAAGAACCCCAUAAGAACUCCUGGGAGUUUCCACAUACCUGCUUUAUAUCCUAACAGGCUAUACAGAAACAAACAGAGUUUGUUUCUGCAUGUCACAGAUCAUGUUGUCUUUGAAUUGUUGGCACUCCUGGGAGUUUCCACAGCCAACACACAGGCUCAUAAUGAGAAUGCAAGACUAUUUUUGUGUUGUCAAAGUCUGGCCACUUCAUUGAUUGUUGGUCUUUUGUUACCUUUCCUGUUCAUUCUGACCACACUGCUGGCAUGAAUUGAUGGUGCACUCCAUACAGCAGUUUCUGGUUUAUAGAUGAAAAAAAUAAUAAUCUUAGAAUGUUGUUCACUUAUUUUGGAGUCCUCGUGUAUAAGAAUUGGACUCUUAUCCAUUAGCAAUAAAACAUCUUUAUUUUAAUAUCUAAAUACUUCAAAAUGAAAAUUAUUAUAGCUAUGUGAUUCUUCCAUAUUUACCUCUCUACCCAGAACUCCCUAUUUGUAUGUGGUCUAUCUGCCAAGUGGAAAAAAAUAAAUACAUAAACAAAAUAAUUGCCACACUGUGUUCAGCUGCUAUAGCCCUGCUAUAUUAUUAUUUUGUUAUUUUGUUAUUGUUUUGUUUGUCUGUUUUCUGCAACAGCAGUUGAGAUUUUGAAUUUCCUUAGGUGUUUGCAUCUAAGACAUUGUUCUUGCUCUUUCUAAGGAAAGGAAUUAGCAAUUAGCUUCAUUUCCCUUGCUUCAGUCUUUUCAUCUUAUUAACCCACGCUGGAGAUGUGUGUAGUUUGAUGAUGCUGUUGUUUGUUAUUGAAAGUAUUCAAUAGGUUUCUGUCUAUUAGAUGUUCGUUCUGAAUCAUUUUCAAAUCAUCUGUUGAUUAAAGGAAGGCAAGGAAGGUUAAAUUUGAGUCAAUCUGUGUUUACCUCUAAUUGUCUACUGCAGUGGCUGUGAUGGGACCACUCUUUACUUCAGGAUCAAGUGGUAUAUUUCAUCUUUUUUCUUCUUCUUGGAAACAAUUCACUCCAUCAAAAAAAAAGUUAACUCAGAGUUACAGUGGGAAUUAAAAACACAAACAAGAUGAGUUCAACUAUAAGAGAGAAAUGAUUGUGUUGAAUAGCUUUAGUUUCUCCGUGGAAGUUACAUUGCCGUGUCAGUCCAUUUUUGUUACGUUAUUCAGAACAUUUUGGCCCACAGUGGAAACUUAAACUACAACCGAAUUUCAGGGUUUAACUUUUCAUUUGCAAUUAUUCGAACAGAGGAUUUAUGCCUUAAGAAGUUUAUGAAUGAUUACCUUUGUGCCUGAU